ACGCACCUCCGGAUUGUUAUCUGCUUAAAAGUCUGCCAAGUUCCAGCAAAUUACGUAUCUAUGAUUCGCCAAAUAAUGUAGUAAUCCUUUCAUUGUGGCAAUGUGUUCUCUCUCCAGUUUCAAAAUGUUGGUCUGCAAAGCCUUCAAGUUUCCAAGGCACAAGUUUUGUGAAAAGAAAGCUGACUACUUCACCGUCGCACUCUCUUUUCGCGUCGGCGAUUAAUGGAAGCCCGUCACAGGAAACCAGUCCUCAAGUUCAGCUUUCACGAGGUACCAGCAAAUCUGUUUCGAGUAUACUGCAAGAGAUGGCAUAAUCGUAUAGCAAACAAAUUUACAAUGGAACUGCCUGAUUGACUUGAAUGAUCAGAUUGCUGCACGACUGUUGACCACACUAUUUCGUGGUAGUUACAUCAGUGGAUCGUUUUUUCCUUGAACGAUCAAAAACGGAAGACCUUCCUGGAUAACAAUAAACGAAAAUUAUCUGUUUUGCUUUUUGCAUGCAAGAGCAUGGGCUUCAUGAUGGGGAGAAU
rnacentral:lncRNA from 1 species